rnacentral:rRNA from 1 species
UACGUAGGGUGCAAGCGUUAAUCGGAAUUACUGGGCGUAAAGCGUGCGCAGGGGGUUUUGUAAGGCUGACGUGAAAUCCCCGGGCUCAACCUGGGAAUUGCGUUGGAGACUGCAAGGCUGGAGUCUGGCAGAGGGGGGUAGAAUUCCACGUGUAGCAGUGAAAUGCGUAGAGAUGUGGAGGAACACCGAUGGCGAAGGCAGCCCCCUGGGUCAAGACUGACGCUCAUGCACGAAAGCGUGGGGAGCAAACAGG